UUCGUACUUCCUCCGUCCGGAAAUACUUGUCGUAGAAAUGAAUAUAAAUGGAUGUAUCUAGAACUAAAAUACAUCUAGAUAUAUCCAUUCCUCCGACAAGUAUUUUCGGACGGAGGGAGUACCUU
rnacentral:pre_miRNA from 1 species